UUAACUCAAAUUUGUAUGGAGUUGGAACGUUUGUUUACGUUUGCCGCUAGGGGCGCUGUUCCAACAGCAUCAUAUUUGAGUUA
rnacentral:pre_miRNA from 1 species